UACGUAGGGGGCAAGCGUUGUCCGGAAUCAUUGGGCGUAAAGCGCGUGUAGGCGGCCAGGUAAGUCCGUUCUGAAAGCCCGGGGCUCAACCCCGGGAGGCGGAUGGAUACUGCUUGGCUCGAGUCCGGAAGAGGCGAGUGGAAUUCCCGGUGUAGCGGUGAAAUGCGCAGAUAUCAGGAGGAACACCAAUGGCGAAGGCAGCUCGCUGGGACGUGACUGACGCUGAGACGCGAAAGCGUGGGGAGCAAACAGG
rnacentral:rRNA from 1 species